ACGAACGCUGGCGGCGUGCCUAAUACAUGCAAGUAGAACGCUGAAGAGAGGAGCUUACUCCUCUUGGAUGAGUUGCGAACGGGUGAGUAACGCGUAGGUAACCUGCCUUGUAGCGGGGGAUAACUAUUGGAAACGAUAGCUAAUACCGCAUAACAAUGGAUGACACAUGUCAUUUAUUUGAAAGGGGCAAUUGCUCCACUACAAGAUGGACCUGCGUUGUAUUAGCUAGUAGGUGAGGUAAUGGCUCACCUAGGCGACGAUACAUAGCCGACCUGAGAGGGUGAUCGGCCACACUGGGACUGAGACACGGCCCAGACUCCUACGGGAGGCAGCAGUAGGGAAUCUUCGGCAAUAGGGGCAACCCUGACCGAGCAACGCCGCGUGAGUGAAGAAGGUUUUCGGAUCGUAAAGCUCUGUUGUAAGUCAAGAACGGGUGUGAGAGUGGAAAGUUCACACUGUGACGGUAGCUUACCAGAAAGGGACGGCUAACUACGUG
rnacentral:rRNA from 1 species